GCUCUCGUUCAUUUUGUGUUUGUAUUUUGUGUAUUCACAGUAUGGCGUGUUUGAAUGGGUGGUGUCUUUUUUGGCUGGUUGUGUUUGCGUCGGUUGCUCAGUUUGUGUUAGGGGACGUGCGCGUGACUAAGAAAUGCGAUGCGGACAAUACGAUGACGCUGUCAUUUGAUGGCUCUCCGAUUGUUUUUCUUCAGAGUGAGUGUGAUUAUGUUCUCGAUCUUUGCCACUUGUCCGCACCUGCGUCUUCAGAUUAAUAUCUGAAAAGAUCUUCAUCUACUGUGUUGCUGCUGCUUGCUAUCCCUCUGCCACAGACCCCUGUACUCAGAGCUGCCCUGCUAGAAGAUCUGGCAGAGCUGCAGACAAGUUGGCAUCAAUUUCUUCAUUCAGGAAGAAUGUGGUCCUUCACAGUGGUCCUGUGGUCUUUGAGGCUGACCAGGUUCAAACAUCUAAGCUGGAGGAUGAAGCCUCUGUUCCCACUGGAUACCUGGUGCUGGAGCUGCCGCUGCCUUGAUGAUGGUGGUCCUGAUUUUGGCUGUAGUUGCUGUGAGGAGGUUGAAGUCGCAAAAAGUGAAUCUGAAAUUUUAAUAAAGUCUCUUAAUGAACA